CAAUUUUCAAGUGCAAGGAAAUAGAACAACAUGCAGAUUUAGCCCAAAUAAGACUACUUCAAGGCAUUUAAUAAACAAACUCCCAAAGGUCAAGGAUAAAGAAAGGAUCCUAAAAGCAGCAAGAGAAAAGAAACAAAUAACAUACAAUGGCACUCCAAUACAUCUAGCAGCUGAUGUUUCAGUGGAAACCUUACAGGCCAUGAGAGAGUGAA